AGGACAAACGCUGGCGGCGUACUUAAGACAUGCAAGUCGAACGGGCGCUUCACCUUCGGGUGGGUGUGCUAGUGGCGGACGGGUGAGUAACGCGUAGGAACCUGUCAUCAAGAGGGGGGAUAACGCUGGGAAACCGGCGCUAAUACCGCAUGUGGUCAUGAAAAUGAAGAAAGCAGCAAUGCGCUUGAUGAGGGGCCUGCGUCCGAUUAGCUUGUUGGUGGGGUAAAGCCUACCAAGGCAUCGAUCGGUAGCUGGUCUGAGAGGAUGGUCAGCCACACUGGGACUGAGACACGGCCCAGACUCCUACGGGAGGCAGCAGUUAGGAAAUUUUCCCAAUGGGCGCAAGCCUGAGGGAGUAACGCCGCGUGGAGGAUGACGGCUUUCGGGUUGUAAACUCCUUUUCUGUGGGAAGAGUAGAAGACGGUACCGCAGGAUAAGCCUCGGCUAACUACGCGCCAGCAGCCGC
rnacentral:rRNA from 1 species